rnacentral:misc_RNA from 1 species
GAUGAAGAACGUAGUGAAAUGCGAUAAGUAAUGUGAAUUGCAGAAUUCAGUGAAUCAUCGAAUCUUUGUACGCACAUUGCGCCCGCUAGUAUUCUGGCGGGCAUGCCUGUCCGAGCGUCAUUUCAACCCUCAAGCCCCCGGGCUUGGUGUUGGGGAUCGGCGAGCCUCCGCGCCCGCCGUCCCCUAAAUCUAGUGGCGGUCUCGCUGUAGCUUCCUCUGCGUAGUAGCACACCUCGCACUGGGAAACAGCGCGGCCACGCCGUUAAACCCCCAACUUCUGAACGUUUGACCUCGGAUCAGGUAGGAAUACCCGCUGAACUUAAGCAUAUCAAUAAGCGGAGGA